AACAACGCACAUAGGUUCCAUCCGAACGUCAACUAGCCCGCAGAAACAGAAAAAAUAUAUUUCAAUCAAUGGGUUAAGGAAUAAAAAAUAAUAGGAAACCUAAACAAAUAAGGACAACGAUUGGACCUAACCAGACCUCACAUGAGAAACUUCCAAAACAGGAACCAUGACACGAAAAAAGACCGAUCUGCUUUCUCCACGGUCACAACCACCUGAACCCACACACCUCCACCCAUAUAUAAAUGAGUACAGCCAGCCGCAGAAGCACACACCCAAAGAAUUAGAAGUCAGCAAAGACGUCACACGCGACUAGGCAACUCGACGUCGACACGAAAAGCCACCUCAGCCACCUCCAGCCGCUUCACUUGACGUCCGAUGAAGUCACGCCAAAGCACGCUCAACGCAUGACGAAGCCACGCCCAGCUACUCCAAUCGACAUCGGACGAAGGGACGCCAAAGCACUUUUGGCCUGAAUCAUCAGAUAAUUUAGUAAUUGUUAUUAACAGUCUUAUUUUCUCUAGAUAUAAUCUUUAUAAAUAUUGUAUCAAUUGAAAAAUUGUUCCCUAUUAAUAUUCAAGGCAAAACACUAUGGCAUGUAACAAGUUGAGCGACUUAAAUACAAGGGGACAUCACUGGAACAUUCAAGUAAAACAAAUGUGAAUAUGGGAUUCAUUCAAUCCUACCACCGAUGAGCUUAUUAGCCUAGAUAUGAUACACGUGCAAAGUAACAUUACAAAUCGACCAAAUAAUCGGUGCGGAGAUCCCAGACAAAGAUGACGAUCCGGACGGAUAUGAAACUGUGGAAAAUUUCAUGAUGCACGGGCCUUGCAGAGUGUCAAAUACAAAAUCAUCAUGCAUGAUUGACAACAGACGCACUAAGCACUUCCCAAAAGGAUACAAUGUCGAUACCACAAACGAUGAGGAUGGCUUUCCAGUAUAUAGAAGGCGAUACAAUGGAAGGAAAAUCAAAAAGGGAGGAGCAAUGCUCAACGAUAGAUUUGUCGUACCCUACAACCGAAACCUUUUGGCCAAUUCCAAGCUCACAUAAAUGUCAAGUGGUGCCACAGGCCAAGGUCAAUCAAGUACCUACCUAUUUAAGAACAUCCAUAAAGAUGACGACCAGGUAACAACCUUGCUAAAGGGAAGAGAUGCGGCAAAUGACUAUGAUGACAUCAAGAAAUACCUAGAGAUGAGAUACAUAUCAACAACUGAAGCAUGCUGGCAAACAUUCCUGUUUGAUAUACACCAUCAUGAUCCACCAGUCGAGAGACUACCAUUCCACAUUAAAAAUGAGCAAGAACUUAUUUUUCCGGACUCGACUGACAUAGAGAAGAUAGUAAGAAGGCCAGGAUCCACGAGUACUAAGUUCACUGAGUGGAUGGAGGCAAACAAAAUACAUGAGGCGGGAAAAGAAUUAACCUAUGCAGAAUUACCAUCAAAAUUUGUAUGGAAAAGCGAAACCAAAACCUGAGGAGCGGAAAAGGGGCUUCACUAUUGGGAGAAUCUACUAUGGACACCCUGCAAGUGGAGAUAGAGAAACUAAUGAGGCAAGCAAGAAAAACACUAAAGGACUAUCCAGACAUAGAACUACGAAAUGCUAUAGAACUUGAACAACUUGGGAACAGAAUGAUAAACGAAGAACUUAUCUACGACAUGGAGGCACUAAAGAAUGAGCACGAAACCAUAAUAAGCAAUGUCAACCACAGCUAGAAAAUGACCUUUGAUGCAAUAAUAGAAUCAGCUGAGAAAGGACUUGGAAAACAGAUAUUUGUAGAAGGCUAUGGUGGCACAUGCAAAACUUACCUAUGGAAAGCAAUUACAACGAAGCUACGAUCAGAAGGAAAGAAAGUGAUUUCGGUAGUAUCAUCUGGCAUUGCAGCUUUGCUCCUAUAAGGUGGAAGAACAGCGCACUCAAGAUUCCACAUUCCAAUAAAUACGACGGAAGAAUCAACAUGUGAAAUAAAACAAGGAUCACAUUUGGCUGAACUGGUAAAGAAAACCUCGGUGAUAUUAUGGGACGAGGCUCCUAUGACAAACACUGCUUCGAUGCACUAGAAAAAAGCCUUAGGGAUAUUCUAAGGUUCACAAACCAAAAUAGUGACGAAAGGCCAUUUGGUGACAUGACAGUUGUGCUAGAAGGCGACUUCAGAAAAAUACUUCAAGUGAUAACAAAGAGCAGAUAGUAAAUGCCUCGGUCAAAGGUCAUACCUACGGAAGUACUUUUAAAUAUUUUUCUAACUGAAAACAUGCGGCUAAAGUUUGUCAGAAGAUCCAAUACAAAAGCAAAAUGUGGCCGAAUUUGCAGAAUGGAUCAAAUUGCGAUAAAAAAAUGAUGAAGCAGAUGAUUGGGUAAGAAUACGUAAAGACCUACUUCUACUUAAAGGAGAAGACCCCAAAUAAGAGAUAGUAAAAAUCACGUACCCAAACUUGCAGCAAAACUAUCGUAACAGUGAAUUUGUCGAAGAAAGAGCAAUACUAUGUCCAAGGAAUGAAAUAGUUGAGAGAAGAUAAAUUACUACAUAAUGAGCCAAAUACAAGGUGAAGAGAUGACAUACCUAUACUUGGACACUGUAUGCAAGGCAACAAUGAAUUACAACACAAUGGAGAAUAUGUGUCUAGCAGAGUUCCUCAACAACAUGACCUUCCCAGGAAUUCCAAUCCACGAGCUAAAACUGAAGGUAGGCUUGCAGGUGAUGCUC
rnacentral:lncRNA from 1 species